GCAGCACAUAUACUAAAAAUAUUACAGAGGAGAUUGGCAUAGCCCUUUGCAAGGAUGAAAUGCUGACUCAUGAAUCAUUCCAUAAUUUU
rnacentral:snRNA from 1 species